rnacentral:rRNA from 1 species
CUCGAUGGUAGGAUAGAGGCCUACCAUGGUUUUAACGGGUAACGGGGAAUUAGGGUUCGAUUCCGGAGAGGGAGCCUGAGAAACGGCUACCACAUCCAAGGAAGGCAGCAGGCGCGCAAAUUACCCAAUCCCGACACGGGGAGGUAGUGACAAUAAAUAACAAUAUGGGCGACAGCACGCCCGCUCUACUCACCAGAUGAACGGAGAAAAUAGGGUUCAUACGGAGAGGGAGACGAAAGGAACACUUCCUGGAGGUCGGACCAAAACAAAAGAGGGGGGGUGUGUCAUUUUAUAACGCUUUCUCUUUAUUAAAGAUGCUUUUCCCCCCCUCACCGACCUUUAGGGCCGUUUUUUUCCUCACCCCCUCUAUUUCCUCUAGUUGGGGGCAUUAGUAUUCAAUUGUCAGAGGUGAAAUUCUUGGAUUUAUUGAAGACUAACUUCUGCGAAAGCAUUUGCCAAGGAUGUUUUCAUUACUCAAGAACGAAAGUUAGGGGAUCGAAGACGAUCAGAUACCGUCGUASUCUUUACCAUAAACUAUGCCGACUAGGGAUCGGACGAUGUWAAUUUUUAGAGACUCGUUCGG